AGAAUCAACGCUGGCGGCGUGCCUCAGACAUGCAAGUCGAACGCGAAAGGCCCCUUCGGGGGCUGAGUAGAGUGGCGCACGGGUGAGUAACACGUAGGUAAUUUGCCUUCGGGUGGGGAAUAACUCAGGGAAACUUGAGCUAAUACCGCAUAAUGCAGCGGCUCGACAUCGAGACAGUUGUUAAAGCGGGGGAUCGUAAGACCUCGCGCCUGAAGAGAAGCCUGCGGCAGAUUAGCUAGUUGGUAGGGUAAUGGACCUA
rnacentral:rRNA from 1 species